UGGUAAGAUUAGGGCCGUGUUCUCCAUGGAGCCCAUGGGGACAGGUUAAACAGUAAAAGUUGUCUUUAAAAAGAAAAGUGGAGUUCAAACUUGCUCAUGAGAGCCCUGGCCAGGUGCAAACGAGGUGUGAAAGAAGGUCUCUAUAGAUCUUGAUCUUUAAAAAUAAGCCAGCAUCGUCUGGGAGAUCCAAACUAGAAAGAUAAGGGACAGAACACCCAGGGCAGAGACAGGUAGUAAAAAUCUCGUGCUUAACAAUGAGUGUAACGUCAAGUAAAAGUGAGAAGUUCACUAAAACAAUAAGAAAGAAAGCCCAAAUAGUGAAACCUCAAGUUAAAUACUUAGGUUAUACUAUAAGUUAGGGCCACAGAGCUAUAGGACAUGAGAAAAAGGAAAAAGAAAGCUGUG